rnacentral:rRNA from 1 species
AUUGAACGCUGGCGGCAGGCCUAACACAUGCAAGUCGAGCGGAGCGGCGGACGGGUGAGUAAUGCCUAGGAAUCUGCCUGGUAGUGGGGGAUAACGUCCGGAAACGGGCGCUAAUACCGCAUACUCUCAGAUGAGCCUAGGUCGGAUUAGCUAGUAGGUAGGGUAAUGGCCUACCUAGGCAACGAUACAUAGCCGACCUGAGAGGGUGAUCGGCCACACUGGGACUGAGACACGGCCCAGACUCCUACGGGAGGCAGCAGUAGUGAAUCUUCGGCAAUGGGCGAAAGCCUGAUCCAGCCAUGCCGCGUGUGUGAAGAAGGUCUUCGGAUUGUAAAGCACUUUAAGUUGGGAGGCGUUACCAACAGAAUAAGCACCGGCUAACUUCGUGCCAGCAGCCGCGGUAAUAC